AACGAACGCUGGCGGCAUGCCUAACACAUGCAAGUCGAACGAGACCUUCGGGUCUAGUGGCGCACGGGUGCGUAACGCGUGGGAACCUGCCCUUAGGUUCGGAAUAACUCCCCGAAAGGGGUGCUAAUACCGGAUAAUGUCUUCGGACCAAAGAUUUAUCGCCUUUGGAUGGGCCCGCGUUGGAUUAGCUAGUUGGUAGGGUAAAAGCCUACCAAGGCGACGAUCCAUAGCCGGUCUGAGAGGAUGAUCAGCCACACUGGGACUGAGACACGGCCCAGACUCCUACGGGAAGCAGCAGUGGGGAAUAUUGGACAAUGGGCGAAAGCCUGAUCCAGCAAUGCCGCGUGAGUGAUGAAGGCCUUAGGGUUGUAAAGCUCUUUUACCCGGGAUGAUAAUGACAGUACCGGGAGAAUAAGCUCCGGCUAACUCCGUG
rnacentral:rRNA from 1 species